UGGGGAAUAUUGGACAAUGGGCGAAAGCCUGAUCCAGCAAUGCCGCGUGUGUGAAGAAGGCCCUAGGGUUGUAAAGCACUUUCAGUGGGGAAGAAAAGCCGGGCGCUAAUAUCGCCCUGUCAUGACGUUACCCACAGAAGAAGCACCGGCUAACUCCGUGCCAGCAGCCGCGGUAAUACGGAGGGUGCGAGCGUUAAUCGGAAUUACUGGGCGUAAAGGGCGCGUAGGUGGUCAGGUCAGUCGGAUGUGAAAGCCCCGGGCUUAACUUGGGAAUUGCAUUCGAUACUACCUGGCUUGAGUAUGGUAGAGGGAAGCGGAAUUCCGGGUGUAGCGGUGAAAUGCGUAGAUAUCCGGAGGAACACCAGUGGCGAAGGCGGCUUCCUGGACCAAUACUGACACUGAGGCGCGAAAGCGUGGGGAGCAAACAGGAUUAGAUACCCCCGUAGUCC
rnacentral:rRNA from 1 species